rnacentral:rRNA from 1 species
GACGAACGCUGGCGGCGUGCCUAAUACAUGCAAGUCGAACGCACAGUUUAUACCGUAGCUUGCUACACCAUAGACUGUGAGUUGCGAACGGGUGAGUAACGCGUAGGUAACCUGCCUGGUAGCGGGGGAUAACUAUUGGAAACGAUAGCUAAUACCGCAUAAUAUUAAUUAUUGCAUGAUAAUUAAUUGAAAGGUGCAAUUGCACCACUACCAGAUGGACCUGCGUUGUAUUAGCUAGUAGGUGAGGUAACGGCUCACCUAGGCGACGAUACAUAGCCGACCUGGGAGGGUGAUCGGCCACACUGGGACUGAGACACGGCCCAGACUCCUACGGGAGGCAGCAGUAGGGAAUCUUCGGCAAUGGACGAAAGUCUGACCGAGCAACGCCGCGUGAGUGAAGAAGGUUGUCGGAUCGUAAAGCUCUGUUGUAAGAGAAGAACGGGUGUGAGAGUGGAAAGUUCACACUGUGACGGUAACUUACCAGAAAGGGACGGCUAACUACGUG